UACAGAGGUCUCAAGCGUUGUUCGGAUUCAUUGGGCGUAAAGGGUGCGUAGGUGGCGUGGUAAGUCGGGUGUGAAAUUUCGGAGCUUAACUCCGAAACUGCAUUCGAUACUGCUGUGCUUGAGGACUGGAGAGGAGACUGGAAUUUACGGUGUAGCAGUGAAAUGCGUAGAGAUCAUGAGGAAGACCAGUGGCGAAGGCGGGUCUCUGGACAGUUCCUGACACUGAGACACGAAGGCCAGGGGAGCAAACGGG
rnacentral:rRNA from 1 species